UGGAAAACUACUGCUCUCCUCUCCACGCAGUGGCCACCCACCCCAGGUCACUACAAUGAGGCGUAAUUACCAUCUCACACCUCCAAACAUCACAAGAGAGAUUCUCUGCUCCCACUAAUAACACGCUUGGGCAA